CAUAUAUAGCCCACCUCAAAAGCACAACGCCGAAAACACCAAAAUAGACCAUAAAGUCUUAUA
rnacentral:tRNA from 1 species